GACGAAGGUGGCGAGCGUUGUUCGGAAUCACUGGGCUUAAAGAGCACGUAGGCGGCCUAUCAAGUGCUUUGUGAAAUCCCUCGGCUCAACCGAGGAAUCGCUUGGCAAACUGGCAGGCUUGAGGCAGGUAAGGGCGCGCGGAACUCUUGGUGGAGCGGUGAAAUGCGUAGAUAUCAAGAGGAACGCCGGCGGUGAAGACGGCGCGCUAGGCCUGUCCUGACGCUGAGGUGCGAAAGCCAGGGGAGCAAACGGG
rnacentral:rRNA from 1 species